CAGGGGUGAUUUCUUAUGUGUCAUUCGCAGUAGUACGCUCUUAUCUGUGUUUAGUGUAGUUCAAUCAAGGCGG
rnacentral:lncRNA from 1 species